UACAGAGGGUGCAAGCGUUGUUCGGAAUUAUUGGGCGUAAAGGGCGCGUAGGCGGUGCGGUAAGUCUGUAGUGAAAUCUCUGGGCUCAACUCAGAGUCUGCUGCAGAAACUGCCGUGCUUGAGUGUGGGAGAGGUGAGUGGAAUUCCCGGUGUAGCGGUGAAAUGCGUAGAUAUCGCUUGGAACGCCGACGGUGAAAACAGCUCGCUGGGGACUCGCUGACGCUGAGACACGAAAGCCAGGGGAGCGAACGGG
rnacentral:rRNA from 1 species